rnacentral:rRNA from 1 species
GAUGAACGCUAGCUACAGGCUUAACACAUGCAAGUCGAGGGGUAACGAGAGGAAAGCUUGCUUUCCUUGUCGACGACCGGCGCACGGGUGAGUAACGCGUAUCCAACCUGCCCCCAACUAAGGAAUAACCUUGCGAAAGUAAGACUAAUACCUUAUAAUUUCCUCAGAUGACAUUUGACGAGGAAUAAAGAUUUAUCGGAUGUGGAUGGGGAUGCGUCUGAUUAGCUUGUUGGCGGGGUAACGGCCCACCAAGGCAACGAUCAGUAGGGGUUCUGAGAGGAAGGUCCCCCACAUUGGAACUGAGACACGGUUCAAACUCCUACGGGAGGCAGCAGUGAGGAAUAUUGGUCAAUGGGCGAAAGCCUGAACCAGCCAAGUAGCGUGCAGGAUGACGGCCCUAUGGGUUGUAAACUGCUUUUAUACAGGAAUAAAGUUAGCCACGUGUGGUUAUUUGUAGGUACUGUAUGAAUAAGGACCGGCUAAUUCCGUGCCAGCAGCCGCGGUAA